CCACUACUCGUACGGGAGGGCAGCAGUGGGGAAUAUUGCACAAUGGGCGAAAGCCUGAUGCAGCGACGCCGCAUGAGGGAAGACGGCCUUCGGGUUGUAAACCUCUUUCAGCAGGGAAGAAGCGAAAGUGACGGUACCUGCAGAAGAAGCGCCGGCUAACUACGUGCCAGCAGCCGCGGUAAUACGUAGGGCGCAAGCGUUGUCCGGAAUUAUUGGGCGUAAAGAGCUCGUAGGCGGCUUGUCGCGUCGGUUGUGAAAGCCCGGAGCUUAACUCCGGGUCUGCAGUCGAUACGGGCAGGCUAGAGUGUGGUAGGGGAGAUCGGAAUUCCUGGUGUAGCGGUGAAAUGCGCAGAUAUCAGGAGGAACCACCGGUGGCGAAGGCGGAUCUCUGGGCCAUUACUGACGCUGAGGAGCGAAAGCGUGGGGAGCGAACAGGAUUAGAUACCCUGGUAGUCCACGCCGUAAACGUUGGGAACUAGGUGUUGGCGACAUUCCACGUCGUCGGUGCCGCAGCUAACGCAUUAAGUUCCCCGCCUGGGGAGUACGGCCGCAAGGCUAAAACUCAAAGGAAUUGACGGGGGCCCGCACAAGCAGCGGAGCAUGUGGCUUAAUUCGACGCAACGCGAAGAACCUUACCAAGGCUUGACAUACACCGGAAAGCAUCAGAGAUGGUGCCCCCCCCU
rnacentral:rRNA from 1 species